rnacentral:rRNA from 1 species
GACGAACGCUGGCGGCGUGCUUAACACAUGCAAGUCGAACGGAAAGGCCCUGCUUUUGUGGGGUGCUCGAGUGGCGAACGGGUGAGUAACACGUGAGUAACCUGCCCUUGACUUUGGGAUAACUUCAGGAAACUGGGGCUAAUACCGGAUAGGAGCUCCUGCUGCACGGUGGGGGUUGGAAAGUUUCGGCGGUUGGGGAUGGACUCGCGGCUUAUCAGCUUGUUGGUGGGGUAGUGGCUUACCAAGGCUUUGACGGGUAGCCGGCCUGAGAGGGUGACCGGCCGCAUUGGAACUGAGCUGCGGCCCGAACUCCUGCGGGCGGCAGGGGGGGGGAUACUUGCACAGUGAGCGGAUGCCUGAUGCACCAACGCCGGAUGCGGGAUGACGGCCUUCGGGUUGUAACCCGCCUUCGCCUGAGAGGAAGCAUCGGUGACGGUAGUGGGUAGAGACGCCCCGGCUACCUACUU